CUUCCUACCGCUUGGCUGACUUGGGGUAAUUUAACUCCUUCUCUGCUAUAACACUUCUAUCUCAGUGUAUUGGCUUUAUCUGUGUAAUGGACAAGAAGAACUCUUUUGACUGUAACAAAGGUGAGCUCUGAUAUAGUGCUUUAGUGCACGGACUCAGAAAGUGGAUGAGAUGCUCCCAACUACUCUUCCAGGCAGCGUCCCUACCCCAUUUAUCAGGUGAAGCCUCUCCAUUAGAGUACCUUGCAGAGACUUCCCCGGGGCUAAACGCAGAGCUGGCAUUGAGGUAGGCUGACUUUAAAGACCAUGCUCUUUUCACUACGUGUUGUUCCUU
rnacentral:lncRNA from 1 species